rnacentral:ncRNA from 1 species
AACUCUGAAGAGCCGCCCGACCAUCGUCGCCGGGCGCACCGAAGGAGCAAGCGGCUGCGCUCUGGCGCAGGCGUGAAACUCUCAGGUCCAGGACAGAGGGGG